rnacentral:Y_RNA from 1 species
GGCUGGUCCGAGUGCAGUGACAUUUAUAACUAAUUGAUCACAAUCAGGUACAGUUUUCUUUGUUCCUUCUCUACUCCACUGCUUCACUUGACUAGCCUCUA